rnacentral:rRNA from 1 species
UACAGAGGGUGCGAGCGUUGUUCGGAAUUAUUGGGCGUAAAGCGCUUGUAGGCGGCUUGUUAAGUUCCGUGUGAAAUCCCCAGGCUUAACCUGGGAAGUGCGCGGAAAACUGGCGAGCUUGAGUGCCGGAGAGGGUCGCGGAAUUCCCGGUGUAGAGGUGAAAUGCGUAGAUAUCUGGAGGAACACCGGUGGCGAAGGCGACAUCCUGGACCGGUAUUGACGCUGAGGCGCGAAAGCCAGGGGAGCAAACGGGG